rfam:Erinaceus europaeus unplaced genomic scaffold scaffold00063, whole genome shotgun sequence
UCGUAUGCUGGGCUAUAAUUUAUGAAACUGAGCCACAGUCCCAGCCAAUCAUUUAGCUUCUCAUAACAAGUCUAACUGGCUCUGGAAAGCUGAAAAGGCUGCACUAGAACAACAAAGAUGAGAUAUUCUGCACAAUGAUCUGCUUAUCUGGAAGUGCUUUCCCUCGAAAGGCCAGAGAAAAAAUAUAGCUUCACUGUGUGAGGGAAGGACAGAUGAUUUGGGGAAAUAGGACUCUGUGUAGAGCAG